rnacentral:rRNA from 1 species
GACGAACGCUGGCGGCGUGCCUAAUACAUGCCAGUAGAACGCUGAAGGAGGAGCUUGCUUCUCUGGAUGAGUUGCGAACGGGUGAGUAACGCGUAGGUAACCUGCCUGGUAGCGGGGGAUAACUAUUGGGAACGAUAGCUAAUACCGCAUAAGAGUAGAUGUCGCAUGACAUUUGCUUAAAAGGUGCAAUUGCAUCACUACCAGAUGGACCUGCGUUGUAUUAGCUAGUUGGUGAGGUAACGGCUCACCAAGGCAACGAUACAUAGCCGACCUGAGAGGGUGAUCGGCCACACUGGGACUGAGACACGGCCCAGACUCCUACGGGAGGCAGCAGUAGGGAAUCUUCGGCAAUGGACGGAAGUCUGACCGAGCAACGCCGCGUGAGUGAAGAAGGGUUUCGGAUCGUAAAGCUCUGUUGUAAGAGAAGAACGAGUGUGAGAGUGGAAAGUUCACACUGUGACGGUACCUUACCAGAAAGGGACGGCUAACUACGUG